rnacentral:rRNA from 1 species
UACGUAGGGUGCAAGCGUUAAUCGGAAUUACUGGGCGUAAAGCGUGCGCAGGCGGUGAUGUAAGACAGAUGUGAAAUCCCCGGGCUCAACCUGGGAACUGCAUUUGUGACUGCAUCGCUGGAGUGCGGCAGAGGGGGAUGGAAUUCCGCGUGUAGCAGUGAAAUGCGUAGAUAUGCGGAGGAACACCGAUGGCGAAGGCAAUCCCCUGGGCCUGCACUGACGCUCAUGCACGAAAGCGUGGGGAGCAAACAGGAUUAGAAACCCCUGUAGUCC